UACGUAGGGUGCGAGCGUUAAUCGGAAUUACUGGGCGUAAAGCGUGCGCAGGCGGUUUUGUAAGUCUGUCGUGAAAUCCCCGGGCUCAACCUGGGAAUUGCGAUGGAGACUGCAAGGCUAGAAUCUGGCAGAGGGGGGUAGAAUUCCACGUGUGAGCAGUUGAAAUGCGUAGAGAUGUGGAGGAACACCGAUGGCGAAGGCAGCCCCCUGGGUCAAGAUUGACGCUCAUGCACGAAAGCGUGGGGAGCAAACAGGAUUAGAAACCCCG
rnacentral:rRNA from 1 species